AGUGAACGCUGGCGGUAGGCCUAACACAUGCAAGUCGAACGGCAGCACAGUAAGAGCUUGCUCUUACGGGUGGCGAGUGGCGGACGGGUGAGGAAUACAUCGGAAUCUACUUUUUCGUGGGGGAUAACGUAGGGAAACUUACGCUAAUACCGCAUACGACCUACGGGUGAAAGCAGGGGAUCUUCUGACCUUGCGCGAUUGAAUGAGCCGAUGUCGGAUUAGCUAGUUGGGGGGGUAAAGGCCCACCAAGGCGACGAUCCGUAGCUGGUCGGAGAGGAUGAUCGGCCACACUGGAACUGAGACACGGUCCAGAGUCCUACGGGAGGCAGCAGUGGGGAAUGUUGGACAAUGGGGGCAAGCCUGAUCCAGCCAUACCGCGUGGGUGAAGAAGGCCUUCGGGUUGUAAAGCCGUUUUGUUGGGAAAGAAAAGCAGCAGGUUAAUACCCCGCUGUUCUGACGGUACCCAAAGAAUAAGCACCGGCUAACUUCGUG
rnacentral:rRNA from 1 species